UAUGGCUGCUCUUGAGUGAGUUAGUCU
rnacentral:piRNA from 1 species